rnacentral:misc_RNA from 1 species
AUGCUACAUACAUAUAAAUACGUAUUGAUUUCUACUAAUCAUGUAGCAGACGAUAUGACACACCGACCAAGUCGGCUGUCAUGCUCGUUUAAGUGUGGGUAUAUAAUUCGCUUCCAAUUGAUUUCUCAGUUCAGUUUACCAAAGUAAUUGCAAUUGCCGGUGUGUUACCGGUAUUACUUGUAAUAUAAUUCAUUAUGGAUCAGAGUAAGAAUAUACCUUUUUCUCGGAGCGGUGAUAAGGAAGAGGAUAAGAUACUGUUGGAACCAUUUACCUAUAUUCUCCAAGUUCCUGGAAAACAAAUUAGAGCCAAGUUGGCACAUGCCUUUAAUUAUUGGUUAAAAAUAUCACAAGAUAAACUGCGUGCAGUUGGAGACAUAGUACAAAUACUUCAUACUUCUAGUUUAUUAAUUGAUGAUAUUCAAGAUAAUUCAGUUUUAAGAAGGGGUAUCCCAGUAGCUCAUAAUAUUUAUGGGACAGCCAGUACAAUAAAUGCUGCAAAUUAUGUAAUAUUUAUUGCAUUAGAAAGAGUACUUGCUUUAAAUCAUCCAGAGGCUACUCAAGUAUAUGUAGAACAAUUAUUGGAACUCCAUAGGGGACAAGGUAUGGAAAUUUAUUGGAGAGAUAAUUAUAUAUGCCCAUCUGAAUCUGCAUAUAAGCAGAUGACAAUUCGAAAGACAGGUGGACUUUUUAAUUUAGCUGUGCGAUUAAUGCAAUUAUUUUCUGAUUGCAAAGAAGACUAUACUGCUUUAGCAGGAAUUUUAGGACUCUAUUUUCAAAUUCGAGAUGAUUAUUGUAAUUUAUAUCUUCAAGAGUAUGCAGAAAAUAAAAGUUACUGUGAAGAUCUGUCUGAAGGAAAAUUUAGUUUUCCUAUUAUCCAUGCUGUACAAAGUCAUUUAGAAGAUAGACAAAUAAUGAAUAUACUAAGACAACGGACUAAGGAUAUUGAAGUAAAACGGUACUGCGUAAAUUUACUAGAAAAAUUUGGAUCUUUUGCUUAUACAAGAAAUGUACUUGAAGAACUAGAUAAAAAAGCUAGGGAUGAAGUCCAACGUUUAGGUGGAAAUCCUUUACUAGUUGAAGUUUUAGAUGAACUAAUGAACUGGAAACAUCAAGAUAGUCAACAACAGAUUAGAAAAACUGCAGUUUAAACUCCACUGCUCUUUUUUAAGUCUCAGAAACAUGCCAAAAGUGACCAGCAUAUCAAAACAUUACAACAUAUAUAACGGAACAGAUUCUUAGAAGAAGUCAUUGUACAUCAUAGAAAUUAUUUAAAAAUUUAUAAAAGGAAAGUGAACGAGUCAACAUGUGUUUCUAAACAAAAUUUUACUAUUACCCUAACAAAAAUUUUGUUGAAGUUCACAUGUUUGUUACCAUUAAUAAAGAAUAUGUCAUAUUGAUGCAUCAACAAUAAUAUAGUAGUUGUUGAAUACAAAUAGUGAUGAGAAACAGUAUACUAAAAAGUUACUAUCAAAACUAUUACAAAUCUUCAUAGAUCUCUCAAUAUUGCAUUUUCAAUAUGCAAAUCUUGACUAUAUAGUCUUGCAUUAUUUAAAUUAAUUCUUAAACUGUAAAUCACUGAGACAGUGACAGAAACAGUACAGCAAAGCUGACCCAAUGUACAAGUUAGACUAUUCCAUUAGAUAUUAUUUUUUCAAUACAUAAAUGUUCCUUUGAGAACCUAGGUACACAGUAAUCUAAACAUUGUUAUAUAUUGAAUAAAUGUUUUACAAAACUGA